rnacentral:rRNA from 1 species
GGCGUGCCUAAUACAUGCAAGUCGAACGCUUCUUUUUCCACCGGAGCUUGCUCCACCGGAAAAAGAGGAGUGGCGAACGGGUGAGUAACACGUGGGUAACCUGCCCAUCAGAAGGGGAUAACACUUGGAAACAGGUGCUAAUACCGUAUAACAAUCGAAACCGCAUGGUUUUGAUUUGAAAGGCGCUUUCGGGUGUCGCUGAUGGAUGGACCCGCGGUGCAUUAGCUAGUUGGUGAGGUAACGGCUCACCAAGGCCACGAUGCAUAGCCGACCUGAGAGGGUGAUCGGCCACAUUGGGACUGAGACACGGCCCAAACUCCUACGGGAGGCAGCAGUAGGGAAUCUUCGGCAAUGGACGAAAGUCUGACCGAGCAACGCCGCGUGAGUGAAGAAGGUUUUCGGAUCGUAAAACUCUGUUGUUAGAGAAGAACAAGGAUGAGAGUAACUGUUCAUCCCUUGACGGUAUCUAACCAGAAAGCCACGGCUAACUACGUGCCAGCAGCCGCGGUAAUACGUAGGUGGCAAGCGUUGUCCGGAUUUAUUGGGCGUAAAGCGAGCGCAGGCGGUUUCUUAAGUCUGAUGUGAAAGCCCCCGGCUCAACCGGGGAGGGUCAUUGGAAACUGGGAGACUUGAGUGCAGACGAGGAGAGUGGAAUUCCAUGUGUAGCGGUGAAAUGCGUAGAUAUAUGGAGGAACACCAGUCGCGAAGGCGGCUCUCUGGUCU